rnacentral:rRNA from 1 species
CUACAGAGACUGCAAGCGUUAUUCGGAUUCACUGGGCGUAAAGGGUGCGCAGGCGGCCGUGUGUGUAAGGUGUGAAAUCCCGGGGCUCAACCCCGGAACUGCGCCUUAAGCUACGUGGCUAGAGUAUUGGAGAGGGUAGUGGAAUUCACGGUGUAGCAGUGAAAUGCGUAGAUAUCGUGAGGAACACCAGAGGCGAAGGCGACUACCUGGACAAUUACUGACGCUCAGGCACGAAAGCGUGGGGAGCAAAAGGGAUUAGAUACCCCUGUAGUCCACGCCCUAAACGGUGCACACUAGGUCUUGGCGGAUUCGACCCCACCAGGGCCCAAGCUAACGCGUUAAGUGUGCCGCCUGAGGACUACGGCCGCAAGGCUAAA